rnacentral:rRNA from 1 species
UACGGAGGGUGCAAGCGUUAUCCGGAUUUACUGGGUUUAAAGGGUGCGUAGGCGGUCGGGUAAGUCUGACGUGAAAUCUUCAAGCUCAACUUGGAAACUGCGUCGGAUACUAUUCGGCUAGAGGAAUGGAGGGGAGACUGGAAUACUUGGUGUAGCAGUGAAAUGCGUAGAUAUCAAGUGGAACACCAGUGGCGAAGGCGAGUCUCUGGACAUUUCCUGACGCUGAGGCACGAAAGCCAGGGGAGCAAACGGG